rnacentral:rRNA from 1 species
UACGGAGGAUCCAAGCGUUAUCCGGAAUCAUUGGGUUUAAAGGGUACGUAGGCGGGACUUUAAGUCAGUGGUGAAAGCCUCCAGCUUAACUGUAGAAUUGCCAUUGAUACUGAUAUUCUUGAGUUUAGUUGAGGUAGGCGGAAUGUGACAUGUAGCGGUGAAAUGCAUAGAUAUUACACAGAAUACCGAUUGCGAAGGCAGUCUACUACGUAUGUACUGACGCUGAGGGACGAAAGCGUGGGGAGCGAACAGG